GUGGACCUAAGCAAACAUUCAAAUKGAAGUGUAAUUAUUGUCUCAGCCACGAUCAGCCCACGAUCGCGUUGAAGCGCUUGCAACGAAAUGCGRCGAUGACUAGAAGCGCGCGGUCAGUGUGUGUAGUACCUGUUGUUGACAUUGAUUUCUAUAAUUUUUGCUGUUGUAAUACAACAAACAAUCGCUUGCGCUACAAGGAAGUGACGGCAAAGUACACGAUCAACGCUUGAUCAUAGUUUUUAGAGGGGAACAAGGGAUGUACAUACGUUUCUUAUAAUUUUGUGCUAUUGUUUUUUCCAUGGCGGUGAUCGCGCGUCGAAAAGAUCAGUUUGGACGAGGUAUUAGACGAAGAUAUGGGGCGGAAACGAGCUAAGAAAGCGAGUGAAUGGAGUUCUAGGAGGAAGCGUAGGGCUUACUGAUACAAUUAAUCAAUGCGUUGCAGAUAUGUAUGUCGGUUGAGGUGUUGAAGAACAACAAAGGAAAGUGCAAUGAAAUGCUGCUGUUAAUUUUCYAAAGAAAACCGUGCUUAGAUACUUCCAUUAACAGUUGUUAGCUGAGAAAAUUACAGUUUGGGAAAAAUAUAAUUGCCAGGAACGUGUGAAAAGGCUUUAAAAAUUAUAAGAAGUAAUAAAAUGAGGUAAACUACAAAACACAACGCGAUCCUCUGAUCCUCUACAUGAAAAUUAACUGAGAAUUAAAGUUUCAAGAAUCAAAUUAUGCAAAAAAUAUAUAUUUUCUUUUCAAAUAAAUCAAAAUAUGUUUAGAAA